CCCCACCCCCGGGUGGAGUGAGGCCCUGCCCGCCUUGGUCUGCCUUGUGGUCUCAGAGCUGGUGGAGAACACACUCGUGCUGUCCAAGGUGCCCCGGUGGCAGCGUGGCCUCUGGUCUCCAUCCUCCCGGCCCCCGCCCCCUUCCCUGCCUCCUUUGCUAUGACCACUGACCUUGGGCUCUAAACCCCACAUUGGCGUCUUGGCCGCGACCUCUCUCCACAGAGGCCCCUGUCCGAGCGCCCGGCACCAAGCGGGCACCUCCCCUGUGCCCGCUCGUCCCACGUUCCCAUCAUGCCUCCGGCUUCCUCGGGACUGCUCGCCCCCGCAUUGGAAGUGCUGAUCUUCUGUCUGUGGGUCUAGCCCCCGUCACGACACUUUCUACGCGUCCUUCUCUCCCUUGUGGCCGAGUCACACAGAGCGCAGGUGACGAGAUCAGCAGGCUCUGUCUUCGAACGUAUUUGCAGAGGGAUGAACUCACGAAGGGGGGAGAUGAAAACAGAGACACGGGAUGAGCAAACCCCAGGCUGGAGGCUGACAACUCGGGCCGGUGGGGCUGGGGGCGCAGGGAGUCGGCAGCAAAGAGCCCGUGGAGCUUCAAGGCCUUCGACGACACCCAGUCUUCCAGAACAGCCGCACCGUUCAGGGGGCGCCCCAAGAGAGGAUCCCGCAAACCGAGGGGACGCCCACAGAGGCCUCUGUGAGGGGUCUCGGGACAGCAGGCGGAGGGUGGCGGCCUCCCAGGUGCCGCACGCCCGGACGUCGCCUUUCCGCCGCGGUCGCUUUCCCCGGCCACCCCGCCGGGCUCGGGGCCCUCUGCCAGCCCUGCCUCUGGGGCCGCCUGCCUCCGUCCUUCCGUGGUUCCGCUAGGACAUUCUCUGGAAAGCCAGGGUGCGCGCAGAACCCACCGCCACGCGGGCCACCACACCCAGUGCCCCACGGGGACCGUCAUUUCCCAGGACGCGGGGGCUGCGUCUGCGCGAGACUGUUUCCGUGCUAAAUAAAAUCAAGCCUCUGCAUGA